CCUACGGGAGGCAGCAGUGAGGAAUAUUGGUCAAUGGGCUUACGCCUGAACCAGCCAAGUCGCGUGAGGGAAGACUGCCCUAUGGGUUGUAAACCUCUUUUGUCAGGGAGCAACGCCGGCUACGUGUAGCCGGACUGAGAGUACCUGAAGAAAAAGCAUCGGCUAACUCCGUGCCAGCAGCCGCGGUAAUACGGAAGAUGCGAGCGUUAUCCGGAUUUAUUGGGUUUAAAGGGUGCGUAGGCGGAAUGCCAAGUCAGCGGUAAAAUCGCGGGGCUCAACCUCGCUCCGCCGUUGAAACUGGCGGUCUUGAGUGGGCGAGAAGUAUGCGGAAUGCGUGGUGUAGCGGUGAAAUGCAGAGAUAUCACGCAGAACUCCGAUUGCGAAGGCAGCAUACCGGCGCCCAACUGACGCUGAAGCACGAAAGCGUGGGUAUCGAACAGGAUUAGAUACCCCGGUAGUC
rnacentral:rRNA from 1 species